rnacentral:rRNA from 1 species
CCUACGGGUGGCUGCAGUGAGGAAUAUUGGUCAAUGGCCGGAAGGCUGAUCCAGCCACGCCGCGUGAAGGUCAGUGCCCUACGGGCGUUAAACUUCUUUCGUCAGGGAGCAAUAAUGGUCACGUGUGGCCAGACGACCGUACCGUACGAAUAAGCAUCGGCUAAAUCCGUGCUAGCAGCCGCGGGAAUACGGGGGGGGCAAGCGUUAUCCGGAUUUAUUGGGGUUAAAGGGUGCGUAGGCUGUGAGGUAAGUCAGCGGGGGAAUGCCCCCGCUCAAAGGGGUGGAGUGCCAUUGAUACUGCCUGGCUGGAGUGCGGGUGCCGUAGGAGGAAUGUGUGGUGUAGCGGUGAAAUGCGUAGAUAUCAGGAGGAACACCGGUUGCGAAGGCGGCAUACUGGCGCGCGACUGACGCUGAGGCUCGAAAGCGUGGGGAGCGAACAGGAUUAGAUACCCGAGUAGUC